AUUGAACGCUGGCGGCAGGCCUAACACAUGCAAGUCGAGCGAGCGGCGGACGGGUGAGUAAUGCCUGGGAAACUGCCCGAUGGAGGGGGAUAACUACUGGAAACGGUAGCUAAUACCGCAUACCAUCAGAUGUGCCCAGAUGGGAUGAGCUAGUAGGUAGGGUAACGGCUUACCAAGGCGACGAUCCCUAGCUGGUCUGAGAGGAUGACCAGCCACACUGGAACUGAGACACGGUCCAGACUCCUACGGGAGGCAGCAGUGGGGAAUAUUGCACAAUGGGCGCAAGCCUGAUGCAGCCAUGCCGCGUGUGUGAAGAAGGUCUUCGGGUUGUAAAGCACUUUCAGCGGGGAGGCGUUACCCGAAGAAGAAGCACCGGCUAACUCCGUGCCAGCAGCCGCGGUAAUUC
rnacentral:rRNA from 1 species